rnacentral:rRNA from 1 species
UACGAAGGGGGCUAGCGUUGCUCGGAAUCACUGGGCGUAAAGGGUGCGUAGGCGGGUCUUUAAGUCAGGGGUGAAAUCCUGGAGCUCAACCCCAGAACUGCCUUUGAUACUGAGGAUCUUGAGUCCGGGAGAGGUGAGUGGAACUGCGAGUGUAGAGGUGAAAUUCGUAGAUAUUCGCAAGAACACCAGUGGCGAAGGCGGCUCACUGGCCCGGUACUGACGCUGAGGUGCGAAAGCGUGGGGAGCAAACAGG